rnacentral:rRNA from 1 species
GACUAACGCUGGCGGCGUGCCUAACACAUGCAAGUCGAACGAAGCAGCAAUGCUUAGUGGCAGACGGGUGAGUAACGCGUAGAUAAUGUGCCCUCUUGCGGGGGAUACCGUUUCGAAAGGAACGUUAAUACCGCAUAAAGUCCUUAGAAGGCAUCUUUUAGGGACCAAACUUCCGGGGCGGGAGGAGCAAUCUGCGUACUAUCAGCUAGUUGGUGAGGUAAUGGCUCACCAAGGCUACGACGGUUAACUGGUCUGAGAGGAUGAUCAGUCACACUGGAACUGAGACACGGUCCAGACUCCUACGGGAGGCAGCAGUGAGGAAUAUUGCACAAUGGGCGAAAGCCUGAUGCAGCGACGCCGCGUGGAGGAUGAAGGAUUUCGGUCUGUAAACUCCUGUCAGUAGGGAAGAGAAUGGACGGUACCUACUGAGGAAGGCUUCGGCUAACUACGUGCCAGCAGCCGCGGUAAU